AUGUUAUUGUGCUGUAUGUGUAACUGUGAGGGAUUGAGAGAUGAUAGGAGAGCUGACAUUAUCAAGAAUGUAACAGACUAUGA